rnacentral:piRNA from 1 species
UGGAAGCAAAUGGUGUGCCUGAAAGC